ACAGGUUUGUCCAAAUUAAAGAUACCAUAAAUUCUAGUCAUGCCAGAGACGUUGGUCCUACAGAGCCAGAAGGACUCGUCAAAUGAGAUAACAAGGGCUGAAGCCAGUUGGAUCUAAAGUGCCAAGUUAUUCGUUAUCAGGUGUUCCUGGACAGUUUUGAAACCGAGAUGUCUGAACGCCUCAAAUAAUCAGCAGUAAAGACAACAGAGACAAAUUCUCUAAUACCAAGGUCAAUGCAUUUGACUGCUGUCCAGCCCCGGGUUGCUACCGAAAACUUUAUGCAUCUUGGACUGGAAGAUGGUGUGCUAGUAAGGAAGCUAGCUACCACAGCUUUUGCCACCACAUCUCAGUGUUGGGAAGGAAGUUCACUCACUGCACAACUCUACCAGCUGUACCUUUCCUCCUCAGCCAUGAUCCGUAACCACCAUGGUUUUCUUUCUGGGCCAGAAGACUUUGCAAACAAAUAAGCAAUAAAUGAUCAUGCAUUACAAAUUUAGCCAUGUUAGACUGUUAAGUUG